rnacentral:rRNA from 1 species
UACGUAGGGGGCAAGCGUUGUCCGGAUUUAUUGGGCGUAAAGAGCGUGUAGGCGGCUAGAUAGGUCCGUUGUGAAAACUCGAGGCUCAACCUCGAGACGUCGAUGGAAACCAUCUGGCUAGAGUCCGGAAGAGGAGAGUGGAAUUCCUGGUGUAGCGGUGGAAUGCGCAGAUAUCAGGAAGAACACCCGUGGCGAAGGCGGCUCUCUGGAACGCAACUGACGCUGAGACGCGAAAGCGUGGGGAGCAAACAGG